UACGGAGGGUGCGAGCGUUGUCCGGAAUCACUGGGCGUAAAGGGCGCGUAGGCGGCCUGAUAAGUAGGGGGUGAAAUCCUGCGGCUUAACCGCAGGGCUGCCUUCUAAACUGUCAGGCUGGAGCACAGUAGAGGCAGGUGGAAUUCCCGGUGUAGCGGUGGAAUGCGUAGAGAUCGGGAAGAACAUCAGUGGCGAAGGCGGCCUGCUGGGCUGUUGCUGACGCUGAGGCGCGAAGGCGUGGGGAGCGAACGGG
rnacentral:rRNA from 1 species